UGGACUACACGGGUUUCUAAUCCCGUUUGCUCCCCUAGCUUUCGCGCCUCAGCGUCAGUAUUGGGCCAGAUGAGCGCUUUCGCCACCGGUGUUCCUCCUGAUAUCUACGCAUUUCACCGCUACACCAGGAAUUCCCUCAUCCUCUCCCAUACUCAAGCCAGGCAGUUUGGGAUGCCGGUCCCCGGGUGAGCCGGGGCAUUUCACAUCCCACUUACCUGACCGCCUACACGCCCUUUACGCCCAGUGAUUCCGAACAACGCUUGCUCCCCCCGUGUUACCGCGGCUGCUGGCACAU
rnacentral:misc_RNA from 1 species